GUAGGGAAUAUUGCGCAAUGGACGAAAGUCUGACGCAGCGACGCCGCGUGAGUGAUGAAGGCCUUAGGGUCGUAAAGCUCUGUUGAAUGGGAAGAAAAAAAUGACGGUACCAUUCGAGGAAGGACCGGCUAACUUCGUGCCAGCAGCCGCGGUAAUACGAGGGGUCCUAGCGUUGUUCGGAAUCAUUGGGCGUAAAGGGUGUGUAGGUGGCCAUGUAAGUCAGGUGUGAAAGCCCCCGGCUCAACCCGGGAAGUGCACUUGAUACUGCGUGGCUUGAGUACCGAAGAGGGUAGUGGAAUUCCAGGUGUAGUGGUGAAAUACGUAGAUAUCUGGAGGAACACCGGUGGCGAAGGCGGCUACCUGGUCGAGUACUGACACUGAGACACGAAAGCAUGGGGAUCAAACAGGAUUAGAUACCCUGGUAGUCC
rnacentral:rRNA from 1 species